rnacentral:rRNA from 1 species
UACGUAGGGGCGAGCGUUAUCCGGAAUUAUUGGGCGUAAAGGGUUCGUAGGCGGUAAUACAUGUCAGAUGUGAAAUCUUGUGGCUUAACCACAUCAAGCAUCUGAAACUGUAUAACUUGAGUGGAGGAGAGGUAAGUGGAAUUCCUAGUGUAGCGGUGAAAUGCGUAGAUAUUAGGAAGAAUACCAGUAGCGAAGGCGACUUACUGGCCUCUAACUGACGCUGAUGAACGAAAGCGUGGGUAGCAAACAGGAUUAGAUACCCUGGUA